rnacentral:lncRNA from 1 species
GAAAGAUCUGUCCUGAGCAGAGAACGGGAAGAGACAGAGUGGCUGUUGACAAGGACCGCCCGUAUGAAAAUGAACUGUUUUGGUUUUGAGAGAAGGUCCUGUUCUGUAGCCCAGACCGGUCUUGAACUUGUUGUAUAGGCUAAACUGACUUUGGAUUGGUGGUGGUCUUCUUGCCAUCCUCCAACUGCUGACAUUCCAAGCAAGUGUUCCCAUCAUCUGCCAUGCCAGAUAAAAUCCCCUGUGCAGUGCUGGGAUCACUCCAGGACGAGAAGAAGAUGGAGCAGGUUGUGCCUGGGGCUGGAUUCUAAGCACUGACUAGGGAAGAUUGUAAGGAACCUAAAGUGGAUAAGGGAGGACUGCAGUAAGGGACUUGUCACCUGUGUAUAUUUAAUCAUUUUGCCCUGGCUCAGCAAGUCAUCCCUCCGUCCCCAUCCGAUCCUCUGGUUUGGGGCAUUGCCUUAUGAAGGUGUACGGUUUCACGCAUCACAACUCUCCUCCAUGACAAUAAAUGCUUUAAAACAUGGACUGCCUCUUCUCAUCAGGAUCCGCAGGGCUGGAGCAAUGGAGCAGGUCUUCCUCUAAAGAGCUGUGUCUAAUCUCACACAGGACGACUCCUUGUGCUCUC